UUUCCAAUUUUUUACCCCGUGUAUUUUUGGUAGGCAUUUUCGAAAUGGACACUGACCAUGUUUUUGAAGCCCUCAUUAAUGUGGACAUUUUAAGACCUAGUUGAGCCUUCUACCAUACUCCAUUGAUUUUUUAGAAUUUGUUUUGNUCCGCCGAAUGUGGUUAGGUAAUACCUUGAUGCUUAGACGUAUUACUGGUGGGGCUAAAUUAAUUUCGGUUAAUUUACCCUAGUUAAACUACCUACUUCAGUGCUCUUAAUCGAGUGUUGUUGUGGGCCAGUACAUUUACUUUGAACAAAUUAGAGUGCUUAAAGCAGGCUAUAUGCCUGAAUAUUUUGUGCAUGGAAUAAUGGAAUAGGACCUCUGCUCUAUUUUCAUUGGUUUUUAGACCAAGAGGUAAUGAUUAAUAGAAGCAGUUGGGGGCAUUAUAUUACGAUGUUAGAGGUAAAAUUCUUGGAUCGUUUCGCUUACUAACAUUAGCGAAAGCAUUUGCCAAAUAUGUUUUCAUUAAUCAAGAACGAAAGUUAGAGGUUCGAAGGCGAUCAGAUACCGCCCUAGUUCUAACCAUAAACGAUGUCAGCUAGCAAUUGAGUGUAGCUCCUCCGAUGGCUCUCUCAGUCGCUUUUCGGGAAACCAAAGCUUUUGGUCUCCGGGGGAAGUAUGGUUGCAAAGCUGAAACUUAAAGGAAUUGACGGAAGGGCACCACCAGACUUUUGGUCUGCGGCUUAAUUUGACUCAACACGGGAAAACUUACCAGGUCCGAACAUAAAUGAGUAAGACAGAUUGAUAGCUCUUUCUCGAAUCUAUGGGUGGUGGUGCAUGGCCGUUCUUAGUUCGUGGAGUGAUUUGUCUGGUUAAUUCCGAUAACGAACGAGACUCAAAUAUAUUAAAUAGAUGCAUUUAGGACUAUGAUGCUUGAAGCUUUGCAUACUGAUGCUUAUUAGGCAGUAAAAUGUUUAAUUUGUAUUAGUCGUGUAGGUGGAGUCAUGCCUAUUUGUUUGUCCUAACAAGACACUAGCUUCUUAAAUGGACAAAUUGCGUCUAGCAAUAAUGAGAUUNAGGCAGGAAUGUUUAAUGUGUAUUAGUCGUUUAGGUGGAGUCAUGCCUAUUUGUUUGUCCUAACAAGACACUAGCUUCUUAAAUGGACAAAUUGCGUCUAGCAAUAAUGAGAUUGAGCAAUAACAGGUCUGUGAUGCCCUUAGAUGUCCUGGGCUGCACGCGCGCUACAAUGAAGGUAUCAACGUGUGUUCCUAGGCCGAAAGGUCCGGGUAAACCGCUGAACCACCUUCGUGCUUGGGAUUGUGGACUGAAACUGUUCACAUGAACCUGGAAUUCCCAGUAAGUGCGUGUCAUAAGCUCGCAUUGAUUACGUCCCUGCCCUUUGUACACACCGCCCGUCGCUACUACCGAUUGAAUAAGUUAGUGAGGUNAGUCAAAAAAAAAAGUAAAGAUCCUAAACUCUUUGAAAUCAGAAUGACUACUU
rnacentral:rRNA from 1 species